rnacentral:rRNA from 1 species
GACGAACGCUGGCGGCGUGCUUAACACAUGCAAGUCGAACGGAAAGGCCCUGCUUUUGUGGGGUGCUCGAGUGGCGAACGGGUGAGUAACACGUGAGUAACCUGCCCUUGACUUUGGGAUAACUUCAGGAAACUGGGGCUAAUACCGGAUAGGAGCUCCUGCUGCAUGGUGGGGGUUGGAAAGUUUCGGCGGUUGGGGAUGGACUCGCGGCUUAUCAGCUUGUUGGUGGGGUAGUGGCUUACCAAGGCUUUGACGGGUAGCCGGCCUGAGAGGGUGACCGGCCACAUUGGGACUGAGAUACGGCCCAGACUCCUACGGGAGGCAGCAGUGGGGAAUAUUGCACAAUGGGCGGAAGCCUGAUGCAGCAACGCCGCGUGCGGGAUGACGGCCUUCGGGUUGUAAACCGCUUUCGCCUGUGACGAAGCGUGAGUGACGGUAAUGGGUAAAGAAGCACCGGCUAACUACGUGCCAGCAGCCGCGGUGAUACGUAGGGUGCGAGCGUUGUCCGGAUUUAUUGGGCGUAAAGGGCUCGUAGGUGGUUGAUCGCGUCGGAAGUGUAAUCUUGGGGCUUAACCCUGAGCGUGCUUUCGAUACGGGUUGACUUGAGGAAGGUAGGGGAGAAUGGAAUUCCUGGUGGAGCGGUGGAAUGCGCAGAUAUCAGGAGGAACACCAGUGGCGAAGGCGGUUCUCUGGGCCUUUCCUGACGCUGAGGAGCGAAAGCGUGGGGAGCGAACAGGCUUAGAUACCCUGGUAGUCCACGCUGUAAACGGUGGGUACUAGGUGUGGGGUCCAUUCCACGGGUUCCGUGCCGUAGCUAACGCUUUAAGUACCCCGCCUGGGGAGUACGGCCGCAAGGCUAAAACUCAAAGGAAUUGACGGGGCCCCGCACAAGCGGCGGAGCAUGCGGAUUAAUUCGAUGCAACGCGUAGAACCUUACCUGGGUUUGACAUGGAUCGGGAGUGCUCAGAGAUGGGUGUGCCUCUUUUGGGGUCGGUUCACAGGUGGUGCAUGGCUGUCGUCAGCUCGUGUCGUGAGAUGUUGGGUUAAGUCCCGCAACGAGCGCAACCCUUGUUCACUGUUGCCAGCACGUUAUGGUGGGGACUCAGUGGAGACCGCCGGGGUCAACUCGGAGGAAGGUGGGGAUGACGUCAAGUCAUCAUGCCCCUUAUGUCCAGGGCUUCACGCAUGCUACAAUGGCUGGUACAGAGAGUGGCGAGCCUGUGAGGGUGAGCGAAUCUCGGAAAGCCGGUCUCAGUUCGGAUUGGGGUCUGCAGCUCGACCUCAUGAAGUCGGAGUCGCUAGUAAUCGCAGAUCAGCAACGCUGCGGUGAAUAAAUUCCCGGGGCU